rnacentral:lncRNA from 1 species
CUUUUAUCCUGAAAUGCGGGCGCGAGUGCGCAUGCCCGGAAGUGCGUUUAGAUUCACUAGAAACUGUUCCUGCUGCAUUUCACCGAAUAAAUGUGUUUAUUUCAUUAGUCGAUCACAUCAACAGGCUCGUUCACUGAUUCCAGGUGCUUUACAGACUGACAGUCUGUUGUUGUCAGUAGGUCUGAGGAUGGUGUGAUGUUCAGUGAUGAUGAUGAUGAUGAUGAUGAUGAUGAUGAUGAAGAUACUGUUGUUGUCUGUAGGUGUCAGGAUGGUGUGUGAGCUGCUGCUCUCCUCGGUCUGGUUCCUGUUCGUCAUCUUCUGGCUGGAGACCAUCAGUGUUUGGCUCUUCCUGUGUCUGUACUAUCAGGAUCGGGUUUUCUAUCACUGGGGUUCAGGUGAGUCUGCAGAUGAUCCAGAUCAGUUCCUCUACGUGUUGAGCAGAAUUGACCUUUCUGCGCACAUGCAGACGUGAGGAAGUGAUGUCAUUGCUCGAGUGUGAGGUCACAUGAAGGGACGCGGGAGGGUCAGAGGUCAGCGGAUGCUCGUGACGUCAGAGAGCCUGUGAUGGGAGGUUUCUACAGAUGGAUAGAGUCGAGAGAUUCAGCAGAAACACAUUAAACAUGAGCAGUGUUUGCAGGAACAUGAAAUGUUGUAGUCUUGAGGUUUUAGGUUUCUUCACAUGAUCAGUGACAAACCGUAAUGUCUUUAAAACUGUUACCUGUGUGAACAUGACUGACUGAGUUUAACCAGUUCAUCUCUUUAACUAGUUGGAAUUUCAUUUUAUAAAACUUUAGCAUCUCCGGAUUAACUUUUAUCUAAUUAUUGUUCUUUCUAUUUUUGUACCAGUUUGUCUUUUUUACCUAAUAAUAAAAAUGAAGCAGU